GCUUGGCUAUCAGUCAGAAUUUGGAGCCAGAGAACUGGAUUCCUUUCCUAACUCUAUACUUCCUGCUUCUAUAACUUCAGCUCUCUCCCAGAGGAAGGAUAGAGGAGCAAACGCCUGAGACCUCCCAGUCAGCUUCUCACAGUAAAGGACAAAAAGAGCAAUAAUGGAAGUGCAUUCCAUGGGAUUUCUGGCUUCUACCUCCCAAUUUCCCAUUUCCUCUUCUAGAUUCUGCUACAGGGUGUGGCUAAGUUACCCAGCUGGCUCUGACGUUUCGUUGUUCCUGCCUCAGCCUUCCAAAGGCCUAGAAUUAAAGGCCUGCACCACCAGGCUCAGAAAAAUGUUAAAAUACAUAAA